AAAAAACUUCAUAAGGAAUGUUCGGUAUACCGAUAUACCGAAAAUAUCGGUAUUGAAACCAAUAUCGGUUUAUCGGUAUGAGUUUUUCAGUCAUCGGUAUGAGUUUUUCAACCUUGAUCUAUGCAAAGCAUUUGACACAGUUGAUGAUAAAAUCCUUAUCAAAAAGUUAUUUAUUUACGGAAUUCAAAACAAAUGCCUUGACU